UUUUCACACACACCGUACACGAAACACACCUCACUGUUCACACUCACUUAAUCACAAAACCACUACACACAAAAGAGGACACACACGAAAAACAGGCGACAACUCUCUUCUCUAAAAGAAAAAAGAAAAAGGAAGGAAACAUUCACUCUCUGAUAUUCACCUCAUGGCCUAAACCACCAUUGUUUCAUUUUUUGCCCCAAUCCUUUCACGCACCAACUGUAAACGAAACCGGGGCUCACCUUCUCCACUCUUUCACACUUCACACCACCAUUGCUUGCGCCAAGCUUGGAUUUCCGGCAACGGGAACUAGAGGCACUGCGAGGCGUGAAGGUUGUCAGCCGAGAGGUUUUAUUCAAUAAAAGUGGAAAAGAUAAACAUUUGGUAUGAUAUCUGGACUUGUCCACUGUAUUAUUUGUGUGAUUUGGUACACCUUCCAAUCACGUAACAAGCUUUUGGCAUUGUUGUCGAGGACUAAAGUUUGGUUUAGUUUAAUUGUGUUUGUUUACUGAUUUAGGUUUUAUUUAUUUAUUUUAUUUAUUUAAGAAAAAAUGGCUUUAUUGUUCUACACUGUCUUUAUUAUUCUAUAUAGUUUAAUGCGCCUUUCUAGUUUUCUUCAUUAUCCAUGAGAUGCAAGGUUUCAGCUAAUCAACUACUCUACGGUCCAAAAGAUUGAAAGAACAACUUAAAGAAACAACAAUAUCAAGAGAAGACUAUUUAAGGAAGCACAAGAAGAUUCCCUUAUAAUUGUAGAAAGUACACAAGAUUUCUCUUAUCAUGCACAUAUCCAACCAUCAGAUCAUUACAAAGAGGUGGAUAUGGCCGGAACAGGUGAAGUACAACGUACUUUGGGAGAUUGUGCCACAUUCAUAGGUCCACUCAAUUUUAAUAACAAUGCUAGGCCAACCAUAACUAAACCAAA